AUUCAAUUUGAGUUUUGCAGCAAAUUAGUUAUUUUUUCCAUUUUUACGCAUGUUGUCAGGUCACAUUUGAUGACUAUAAUGGAGCCAUUAGAUUUGUCAACAUAAGGAAUGUGCACUGGAGGUUUGUGAACAGUAUCUUCAUGCCCUUUCAAACCGCAUAUUUGUGGUUGAUCCUCUGCAAGGGUCAAAUGAAGUCGAGGACUCCAGAAAGGCUGGCCACAGAUUUGGACAGUAUUUCAAAAUGCGCCGGAACAGACUUGGAGAGGAGGACUGGGUUGACACCAAGUGGCAGCCGG